rnacentral:rRNA from 1 species
GACGAACGCUGGCGGCGUGCUUAACACAUGCAAGUCGAACGGAAAGGCCCUGCUUUUGUGGGGUGCUCGAGUGGCGAACGGGUGAGUAACACGUGAGUAACCUGCCCUUGACUUUGGUAUAACUUCAGGAAACUGGGGCUAAUACCGGAUAGGAGCUCCUGCUGCAUGGUGGGGGUUGGAAAGUUUCGGCGGUUGGGGAUGGACUCGCGGCUUAUCAGCUUGUUGGUGGGGUAGUGGCUUACCAAGGCUUUGACGGGUAGCCGGCCUGAGAGGGUGACCGGCCACAUUGGGACUGAGAUCCGGCCCAGACUCCUACGGGAGGAAGCAGUGGGGAAUAUUGCACAAUGGGCGGAAGCCUGAUGCAGCAACGCCGCGUGCGGGAUGACGGCCUUCGGGUUGUAAACCGCUUUCGCCUGUGACGAAGCGUGAGUGACGGUAAUGGGUAAAGAAGCACCGGCUAACUACGUG